GGUGGCUCUUCAUUUUUAGUUUUCCUUCCUGAAAGAGGACUGAGUGAAGGGACUUAUUAAGGAGAAACAUGAGACUAUUUUUCCCUUCCUGGAAGAAGCAGUAGAGUGCAAGAACAAAAAGUGGCUUGUACGAUCAGAAUACCAGUGGCAAAAAUACUCCAUAAUAAUAACAGCAACAACAUUUGAUUUAUAUACCGCUAUGCUAUGCUAUGCUAUGCUAUGCUAUGCUUAACAGUCUUUAACGAGGCAUUUCUUCAUUCGCAGCUGUGAAGAGAAUAUGGACUCUGCCAAACCCCAUGAUGGACAGGAAUGGAAGUGUCAUAAGGCAUCUUGCGCACCAUUCAAGAACUGGCAUGCUGCAUUCAAGAGUCCAGAUUUCCAAAUGUGACCACAAUGGAUAAUCUGGUGCAUUUCCCCCCUUUCCCAAAUGCUUUCUCAGAGUAGUCACUUCAUAACUAGGAUUCUCUUGUCAGCGGUAUCAGAUCCUCAACCUCUCACUUUAAAUUGUACUGCCCUUCUAAGGGUAUUUCUAGUGUAUGAAUUUUGUAAUGAUUCACAAACUGAUCCUGUGUAUAUUGAUAUAUGACAUUGAUUGUAUUGUCUGCGAAUGGCCAAACUGCACUAGCACUUCAUUGGUCUGAGAUUCUCUUGUUGGACAGAGGAAUUUUGGAUAUGUAGUUACUAGUACUUAUUGAGGCUUAUGUAGCACUUUGUGUUUCUUUGAAGUUAACUCAACCUAGCCUUGGUAUACCAUUGAAAAAAAUGUGUUUCAGCAUCAUAGAAUCUUGUUAGCCAUAAACAUUCCUUUGAAGGUUAAUUAUAUAUAUAUAUUUCUCAAACA